rnacentral:ncRNA from 2 species
UGACAUAUCGGGGAUGGAGUCCCCCCUAAACCGCCGUUGGACGGCUGAUGACUCCUGCCAUGCU